UGACGUUGUGCUAUUUGUCGCUAUGGCGUAUUUUCUGAUGUCGCUCUGUCUAUGAAAUUUGUUGCUCUUUCAGGCGACCGCUAAAGUAUUUUUUAAAGUGACAGUGACUUUGUUAAAACAAUAAUUCAUCAUAUUUGUUCUCAGUGAAACUAGAUAUAUCGGAAUUUUUCAAUUUUGUUUUCCCCCUCACCCAAGUGUGAAUUGUGCGCAUCAUCUAUUCAAAAGGAUAUUUUUUUGCUCAUAACUUCAGAAAAGCUCCUCGCAAGUAGAAAAUGGGAUUAGACAAUAUGAAUAUGAGCGUUCCUUCAAUUAUUUUUGCGCGGUGAUUUCAUUUCCUGUUCGCGGUGACCCAGAAAGACGAACGUCAAAAAAGUCACAAAACACGAGCCGGUUUUAUUGUUAU
rnacentral:lncRNA from 1 species